CAGUCGCCGCGGGAAUACGUAGGGGGCAAGCGUUAUCCGGAAUUACUGGGUGUAAAGGGAGCGUAGACGGUUAAACGAGUCUGAAGUGAAAUGCCGGGGCUCAACCCCGGAGCUGCUUUGGGAACUGUAGAACUGGAGUGUCGGAGGGGUAAGCGGAAUUCCCAGUGUAGCGGUGAAAUGCGUAGAUAUUGGGAGGAACACCGGCGGCGAAGGCGGCUUACUGGACGACAACUGACGUUGAGGCUCGAAGGCGUGGGUAGCAGACUGGAUUAGAUACCCGCGUAGUCCCUGUCUCUUAUAC
rnacentral:rRNA from 1 species